AUUGAACGCUGGCGGCAGGCCUAACACAUGCAAGUCGAACGGUAACAGGAAGCAGCUUGCUGCUUCGCUGACGAGUGGCGGACGGGUGAGUAAUGUCUGGGAAACUGCCUGAUGGAGUGGGAUAACUACUGGAAACGGUAGCUAAUACCGCAUAACGUCGCAAGACCAAAGAGGGGGACCUUAGGGCCUCUUGCCAUCGGAUGUGCCCAGAUGGGAUUAGCUAGUAGGUGGGGUAACGGCUCACCUAGGCGACGAUCCCUAGCUGGUCUGAGAGGAUGACCAGCCACACUGGAACUGAGACACGGUCCAGACUACUACGGGAGGCAGCAGUGGGGAAUAUUGCACAAUGGGCGCAAGCCUGAUGCAGCCAUGCAGCGUGUAUGAAGACGGCCUUCGGGUUGUAAAGUACUUUCAGCGGGGAGGAAGGGAGUAAAGUUAAUACCUUUGCUCAUUGACGUUACCCGCAGAAGAAGCACCGGCUAACUACGUG
rnacentral:rRNA from 1 species